UACGAAGGGGGCUAGCGUUGUUCGGAAUUACUGGGCGUAAAGGGCGCGUAGGCGGUACUUCAAGUCAGGCGUGAAAGCCCCGGGCUCAACCUGGGAACCGCGCUUGAGACUGGAGAACUAGAGCUCGGGAGAGGAUGGUGGAAUUCCCAGUGUAGAGGUGAAAUUCGUAGAUAUUGGGAAGAACACCGAUGGCGAAGGCAGCCAUCUGGACCGACACUGACGCUGAGGCGCGAAAGCGUGGGGAGCAAACAGG
rnacentral:rRNA from 1 species